UUAUCUUUGUUCACUGGGUUUUGGUAUAUUUGAACCGAGAUGUGGUUUACUCUUACAAAGUAAUAUAGAUACCCCACAUUAAUUGGUCCUUCGAGCCGGAUUCCAACACAUCGUGACGGGAAGGAGGAGGGAAAAGACACGCCGCAAGUCUGUCGACAGCCGGGAUCAUCAGCCGACCCCGAGAAAGACCCGGGACGCAGAAUUCGUGGCCGGGCCGGUGCUUAUAUGUCCAACCUCCCUCAUCCUCGGCACGAUUGACGGAAUCCAACCGGACCAGUGACCACAGAUAACGGGUAAGAUAAAAAGUUGAUAUACAUGGUUUCUCCGCCAUUUAAGGAGGUUGAGAAAGGUUUCUCCGCCGUUAAGGAGGUUGAUAAAACGUUGAUAGAGAAAGGCUACUCCGCCGUUAAGGAGGUUGAUAAAACGUUGAUAGAGAAAGGCUACUCCGCCUAGGAGGAGGAUCGACGUGCCUUUGGGUACACUUAUGAGUGAUUGAGUGAAAGCAGUGUGUAAAAGUGUCACCAAGUGGAAUCAGCGCACAGAGUGGAAACCUAACGGUGAUAACAAAAACUCUGUGGUCUGUUGAAGUACACUAGUGGUGAAUUAGGAAUUAGGUUCUGACCGGCACGUUGUCCAGUAGGAACA